rnacentral:rRNA from 1 species
AACGAACGCUGGCGGCAGGCUUAACACAUGCAAGUCGAGCGCCCCGCAAGGGGAGCGGCAGACGGUGAGUAACGCGUGGGAACGUGCCUUUUGGUUCGGAACAACUCCGGGAAACUGGAGCUAAUACCGGAUAAGCCCUUCGGGGGAAAGAUUUAUCGCCAAAAGAUCGGCCCGCGUCUGAUUAGCUAGUUGGUGAGGUAAUGGCUCACCAAGGCGACGAUCAGUAGCUGGUCUGAGAGGAUGAUCAGCCACACUGGGACUGAGACACGGCCCAGACUCCUACGGGAGGCAGCAGUGGGGAAUAUUGGACAAUGGGCGCAAGCCUGAUCCAGCCAUGCCGCGUGAGUGAUGAAGGCCUUAGGGUUGUAAAGCUCUUUUGUCCGGGAAGAUAAUGACUGUACCGGAAGAAUAAGCCCCGGCUAACUUCGUGCCAGCCGCCGCCGUAACAC